AACACUAUCUGCUAUUGAAGUACUGCCAAAAAUAAAUGAACUGGGUUAAAAAUUUAAAAUAAAAUAAAAAAUAAAACAAACAUUUUCAUGGUUUUCGUAUUAUCUCUGUUAAAAACAAAUUAAGUUAAAUAAUAAAAAGAAUAAAUAAUAAAAAAGAAAUCAAGAACAUAUAAACAUUUUCUGAUUUUUGUAUUAAAAAACAAAAUAAAUCAAAUAGUAAAAAGAAAUAACAAAAAAAAGAAAAAAAAGGAAAUGGAAACAGCAGAAGCUCGUCUCCAUCGUCUUCCUCCCUCGCUCUCUCUUCUCUCCUCUCAGCUUACUCCCCCCAAAGCAAAACCAAACCCUACUAACAGUAACCAAACCUAAGUA
rnacentral:lncRNA from 1 species